UGUAACGUUUUAAGGAAUUUGAAUGAUUUGGACGAUUUGUAAUAGUGGGCAUUAAAUGAAAUUUAUUUUGUUGCCAUUUUGGGUUUUUGGAAAAGGAAAGAGUAAAAGAAGGAAAAGAAAGAGGCUUUUUUGGGGUACAAGAAAAUAGAGGGAGAAGAGAGUAAGAAAAAUGAUUGUUUUUUUUUUUUUAUUCUUGUUUGAACAGUGAAAAGUUUUCCUAAAAGGUUUGCAUUUACAGAGUGGUAAAGCAGAGGUAUACAAAAAGUUCGAGGGAAAGCUUUGGUGGUGCUACAUCCAAAAGUUUUCGAUUCCGUUGUAUCCUGGGAGACAACCGUCAGAAAACAUCUGCACCGAUGAUACGGAAAUUGUCUUAAGGACACUGUGGUAUCACACAGGCUUCGGAUUAUUUUUCAACCAGCAGAUUAAAACUAAGGACAUACAGGGUGAAGAUUGAUGAUAAUUAAAUUCAAGGUGGCCACAAUUUGAGAACUAAGGACGUAGAUGAAGCAAUAGCUAGGGCAGUGAGAGAAGCAGUCUCUGUGGGCCAGAUUGUUGACAUCUGCGAUAUGUGUGAGGGCGAGAUCAUGGAUCCCUAUGGUUUCCUCUGGGCUAUUUACUCCCCAGCAAAAAAUCCAACACAGAAAGCGAUCCUUGCAGGAUUUGUCGAUAGGAAGUUGGAUCCAACACGCCGUACAUUUCCAUAGACGAAGAUAAGUAGUUCUUCAAGAAUGUUGCAAUUAAUGCUGCACAUUUCUAAAGAGAAUUCUAGAACUACUUUGGUGGCAUGUAAGAGUUUAAGUUUGACUUGACUUCCUCAUAUGUGUACGUAUUCAAGUUGAACUUGGCUUCCUAGGAUAUUCAUGUAUGUAAGAGUUUAAGUUUGACUUGACUUUCUCAUGUGUGUAAGUGUUUAACUUAAACUUUGCUUCCUAGAAUCUAGAACAUUCAUGGAUGGUUUAGUUGGCCAAGGAACCCACCUUGUACUUGUAUAAUAGGAAGCUAUUGCUUCCACAACAAAAAUAACAAUUACAUUAAAAAAAGAAAAAGAAAAAGGUAGCUCUAUCGUAUUUUCCUUUCUCCUUUCCUUUCUCCACUGAGAGUAUCUCAGAAUAUCUUUCAAUAAAUUACAUAAGUGGUAUCAGAGCCUAAUUUGUUCAUUAACUAGGUGUAGUUAUUUUCAUUCACCAUGGUCGAGAACAACUUCCGUACAAUUUCAGUUCUAGUCUUUAGUGGUGAAAACUACAAUUUUUGGUCUAUAAAGAUGACCAAUUAUUUUAGAUCCCAAAAAUUAUGGGAUAUUGUUAGUGAGGGCUACACUAUUCCUACUAACAUUACCAUACUUAAUGACAAUCAAAAGAAAAAGCUUGAUGAGAAUCAACAAAAGGAUUCCCAAGCUUUGUUCGUUCUGCAACAAGCCGUGGCGGAUGAAAUCUUUCCAAGGAUUAUGGGAGCUACAACAGCAAAGGAGGCAUGAGAUGCACUACAGGAGGAGUUUCAAGGCAAAGUUCAAGUACGUGCCAUAAAACUACAGACUCUAAGAAAAGAUUUUGAAAAUUUAAAAAUGAAAGAUUUUGAGACUGCUAAAGAUUACUACUCAAGAAUAAAAGUAGUUAAUCAAAUGAGGGCCUAUGGAGAGAAUAUUUUUGAAAAGAAAGUAGGAGAAAAAAUUUUAAUUAGUUGUACAGAAAAAUAUAAUGCAAUUAUUACUGCUAUUGAAGAAUCUAAGAUAUUGAAAACUUAACAGCAACAUAAUUAAUGGGCUCUCUAGAAGUAUAUGAGAAAAGAUUGAGUAGGCGGAAUGAAAAUUCUAUGGAAAAUGCUUUUCAGUCUAAAAUAAAAAUGCGGUCUCAAAAUACUAAAGAUGGAUGGAAAAAACCACAAGAAAAUUCUUGAAAUAACCAAAACAAAAAUAGCAAAUAUCCUCCUUGUGAUAUUUGCAAAAGAAAAAGUCAUUUGGAAAAAGAAAGGAAAACCACAGUGCAAAGUUUGUAGAAAAUUUGGGCACGUAGGAAAAGAUUGUCGCUUUAAAAACAUACAUCAAGUUAAUUUUAUUGAAGGACAUAGAAAAUCAUAUAUUCUAUAUCUCACAAGGUGAAGAUAAAAAAGGCACUUGAUAUUUAGAUAGUGGUUGCAGUAACCACAUGACAAAAGAUGAAAGUAUUUUCUGUAGUCUAAAUAAAAUACGAACAAAAGUUAAAAUUGGAAAUAAGGAAUUUAUAGAGGCUACGGGAAAAGGAUCCAUUGCUGUAGAAACCAAAAAAGGUAAACGAUGCAUUAAUGAUGUAUUUUAGUCCUUUCAACAAAUCAAAAUCUACUUAGUGUUGGUCAAAUGAUAGAGAAAGGAUACUCUUUGAACCUUGAAGGUGAUUCAUGUACAAUAUAUGACAAGACAGAAAAGGGUAUAUUUCUUGGCUAUAGCUUGCAAUCAAAAGGCUAUCGAAUUUAUAGCCUGGAAUCAAACAAGUUAAUCAUCAGUCGAGACGUUCAGUUUGAUGAAGAUGCAUCCUACAACUGGAAAACUAAAGAAGUUGAAAGGAAGAAAAUUUGUGUACCAGCAAUAGAAUAACAAAGAGAGGAGGAGCCAGAUGAAACUCAAGGACCUCAAGAGACAAAUCAAGAAUCUCCAACUCAUCAAAUGCAGCAAUAAAUCGAGCCAAAGGAUUCAUCACCAGCAUUAACUCCUCGAAGAACUCGACUAUCAAUAGAGAUUUAUGAAUCAUGCAACUUGGCCAUAGUGGAGCCUGGGAGUUUUAAAGAAGCUUCAAAACAUGAAGUCUGGGUCAAAGCAAUGGAAGAAGAGAUAAGAAUGAUCGAAAAGAAUAAAACAUGGGAGUUGGUGGAUCUUCCUUUGAACAAAGAUGUCAUUGGAGUAAAGUAGGUAUAUAAGACAAAACUUAACUCUGAUGGAUCGAUACAAAAACAUAAGGCUCAACUAGUGGCAAAAGGAUAUAAGUAGCAAUUCAAAAUUGGCUACAAUGAAACAUUUGCUCCUAUUGCUCGUCUCGACACUAAAAGGGCACUCUUAGCAUUAGCUGCUCAAAAGAGGUGGAAAAUAUAUCAAUUAGAUGUGAAGUCUACAUUCCUUAAUGGCUAUUUGGAAGAAGAGAUUUACAUUGAAUAGCCACAGGGGUUUGUGGUACAAGGACAAGAAAAUAAAGUGCUAAGAUUAAAAAAGGCCUUAUACAGACUAAAACAAGCCCUACGAGCCUAGUACAAUCGAAUUGACACCUAUUUCAUUAAGCAAGGAUUCAGGAAGAGCUAUAGUGAGCCUACACUAUACAUCAAGACCCAAGGUACGGACAACACUCUUAUUGUUUCUUUAUAUGUUGAUGAUCUUAUAUAUACAGGAAACAAUGAGAAAAUGAUUGAGGAAUUUAAAAAAGAGAUGUUGAAGACAUCUGAAAUGACGGAUUUUUGCUUGAUGCAUUACUUUCUCAGAAUUAGAGGUACCAAUGUGAUGAAGGAAUGUUUAUUUCUCAAAAGAAAUAUACUAAAGAUAUUAUUAAAAAAUUCAAGAUGAGUGGUUGCAAAACUGUAGCAAUACCACUUGAUAAUUGUCAGACAAUGAAGAAAGACGAUGGAUCACCACCAGCCAAUAACUCGACAUUUCGAAUUCUCAUCGGAAGUCUUCUAUAUCUAACAACUAUAGACCGGACAUCAUGUAUGCAACAAGUUUGCUAUCAAGGUUCAUGGAGAAUUCAACUCAAGUGCAUUAUGGAGCUGUAAAAAGAAUACUCAGAUAUCUACAAGGAACUAAAGAUUAUGGUAUAUGGUAUAGAUCCAUUUCUAAUUCACAACUGCUUGGAUUCAGAGACAGUGACUGGUCAGGAUCAGUAGAUGACAUGUGAAGUACUUCUGGCUAUGCAUUCUCUCUUGACUCAGGCAUUUUCUCUUGGGAAUUAAAGAGGCAAGCAACAGUUGCACAAUCAUCUACAAAGGCAGAAUAUAUUACAGCUGCAUAUGCCACAAGUCAGUCAUUAUGGCUCAAGUACAUAUUUGAAGAUUUUGGAGAACCACAAAAUGAACCAACAACAAUAUACUGCGAUAGCAAGUUAGCAAUAGCAAUGGUGAAGAACCCAAUGUUCCAUAACAUGACCAAACACAUUAAAAGAAAAUAUCACUUCGUCCGUGAAGCUGAGGCAAACAAAGAAAUUGCAAUCAAAUACUGCAAGACUGAAGAGUAAUUAGCGGACAUCUUCAUCAAGGCACUACUUCAAAACAAAUUCGAAUUACUAAGAAGCAAGAUUUGAGUAAUAGAAAUGUGCAUCAAGGAGGAGUGUUGCAAUUAAUGCUGCACAUUUCUAAAGAGAAUUCUAGAACUACUUAGGUGGCAUGUAAAAGUUUAAGUUUAACUUGACUUCGUCAUAUAUGUAAGUGUUCAAGUUGAAUUUGGCUUCCUAGGAUAUUCAUGUGUGUAAGAGUUUAAGUUUGACUUGACUUCCUCAUGUGUGUAAAUGUUUAAGUUAAAUUUUGUUUCCUAGAACCUAGAACAUUCAUGAAUGAUUUAGUUGGCCAAGAAACCCACUUUGUACUUGUAUAAAUAGGAAGUUAUUGCUUCCAUAACAAAAAUAACAAUUACAUUAAAAAAAAAAAGGUAGCUCUAUAUUAUUUUCCUUUCUCCUUUCCUUUCUCCACCGAGAGUAUCCUAGAAUAUCUUUCAACAAAUUCCAUCAAGGAAGAAUCGCAGCAAUUCGCCAAUCCUAACGAAAGUAGUUUGUCCAGAAUCACCUAAAUGAUCUUAACAAACUCCCCUAUCGUUUUGUUCAAAGGAAUAGGAAUGAUUUUUUCAGUAGAAGUUCUGAUUUUCCAUUGUUUCUUGAAUAUAAGGAAGGAAUGAGGACUUCAAUAUGUUUCAGUGUUAUAUCUGAAUUAGCAUUCUAAUAGGUAGGUACACAGGUUCAUUGUUGAAAGUAUAUAUAUAAUGCCAUAGAAAUAUGAAUUUUGGGCCUUAUCUAUCAAGGUGUAUGUAAAAUCUUUUUCCAUCUUUUCAGAGGGAUAAUGGUUCUUGCUAUUGGUGAAAAUAUAAAUUUCUGUUAUUAGUUGAGA